rnacentral:rRNA from 1 species
CAGUGGGGGCGGGCUUACACAUGCAAGUCGAGCGCUCGUAGCAAUACGAGAGCGGCAGACGGGAGAGUAACACGUGGGAACGUACCCUUCGGUUCGGAAUAACCCAGGGAAACUUGGGCUAAUACCGAAUACGUCCGUAAGGAGAAAGAUUUAUCGCCGAGGGAUCGGCCCGCGUCCGAUUAGCUAGUUGGUGAGGUAAUGGCUCACCAAGGCGACGAUCGGUAGCUGGUCUGAGAGGAUGAUCAGCCUCACUGGGACUGAGACACGGCCCAGACUCCUACGGGAGGCAGCAGUGGGGAAUAUUGGACAAUGGGCGCAAGCCUGAUCCAGCCAUGCCGCGUGGGUGAUGAAGGCCUUAGGGUUGUAAAGCCCUCUCGGCGGGGAAGAUAAUGACGGUACCCGCAGAAGAAGCCCCGGCUAACUUCGUGCCAGCAG